rnacentral:rRNA from 1 species
UACGGAGGGGACUAGCGUUGUUCGGAAUUACUGGGCGUAAAGCGCACGUAGGCGGCUUUGUAAGUCAGGGGUGAAAUCCCGGGGCUCAACCUCGGAACUGCCUUUGAUACUGCAAAUCUCGAGUCCGGAAGAGGUGAGUGGAAUUCCUAGUGUAGAGGUGAAAUUCGUAGAUAUUAGGAAGAACACCAGUGGCGAAGGCGGCUCACUGGUCCGGUACUGACGCUGAGGUGCGAAAGCGUGGGGAGCAAACAGG